CCUUUUUUACCCGUCUCUCCAACCGUUCAGAUAACUUAACGACAGGGAUUUUCUAUCCAGUGUGCAACUUGGUCAGCAGCCCUCAUUUCGGGCUUCAGAUUUCAGGGUUUGUUGGGGUUCGGUGUUAGGGCAAGGCAAGACCUUCGAUCACAACAUGGGGCCAGUCCAUUCCUGCUCUGCAAACCGAGUAAUAACCUGUGGACCAACGGGAAGAUUUGCUCAGUAUCUCCUCGUUGUUUCUAUACCGAUCUUUUUGUUGUCUCCUGCCAGUCACCUCUAUCAACUUUCGUCUGCCCAGGGAAUAAUUGCGGACAUAGCCAUCCCCUUCUUCAAUUUCUACCCUUUCCAAAUUUAUAUGUUGGGCACAUAAUCAGGUGAGAGUCUUCUUCUCUUCAAAUCGAUUCUUGCCGCCUUGCUCUUCUCGAGAGGUGAAGAAAAAUUAUGUCUUCGGAGUUUAGUUGUCUCCCUUGGUCUCUCAUUGAUGCAACCGAAUAUGGUUUUAACAUAAAUUUUGAUCGCAUAGCCACAUAUUAUUUUCUGCUUUUAUCCACAUCCUUGAUGGUUUGGUUUUGGAAUAAUAUCUAUUUUUCUUAGAAAUCAUUAUUUUCUACUGGUGCCUUUUAUAUGUUCAAGUCACAUUGAGUUUGAGGAUUGUUACUCUUUCUUGUCUCCGUUUUAUUGUUGCGUUGAUUUUGCUUAAUCUCUCAAGAGGUGAAAAAUGGACAAAAGCCCUGCUUUUCACUUGAAGAGAUCUUAUGAUUGUCACUGAUUAAUAAUCUGUUAGAAAAAGUCUACUUACAACCGACCUGAGAAACCCCCCCGUAACCGGCUCCUACGUGGCACGUUUCAAAACGGCGUCGUCACUGUUUUAACUCAAAUUCAAACUUGCCUCGUCACUCUGUUACUGCGUUUCAAAAACUCUCUACUUUCUCUUCCUUCCAAGACCCUCCCCUCUUCCUCAUUCCCAUCGUCUUCCACAGAAAGGCAGAAGCAGCCUUCCAUCCCAGUCGAAAAUCAUUCCCAGUUGAAGAAAGAACCCACAAACCCACGUUUCAGUUUCGUACCGAAGAACCACUGACGCACAAACCCACGAACAAGCCUCGAACCCAAGAGCCAGAAACCCAAUUUCAACCCACAAAUCGACAAACUAGAGCCACGAAAUCCAGUUCUGAAAUCCCGCUUUCCCACAGAGCACCGAUUAAAAUAACCCUAACCCUAACCUCAAAAAAUCGGGUUAGUUUUCUCCUUUUUAUGUCUUUUCGUUUUGGUUUCCAACAUUUCCCACUCUCAGAUCUGGAAUCAACCCGAGCACGCCUGCAUUUCGUCUGCCAUUAAUGUACAAACUGGAGAGGAGGUGGCUGUUAAGCUGGAAUAUGUGAAGACCAAGCAUCAAUAACCUGUUACGGAAGGAGAAAGAUCUCAAGAAGAUGGUCGAGCUUCUUGAAAAGAGUGAGAUUGACCUUCGUAAGAUAGUGGAUCAGCUCGAGAAGGAGUUGGGGCGUCACGCACAAGAAACUGAAAUAAGGCGUUUACAAUGAAUGUAUUGGGGUUUUGCAUUAGUAGUAUUAUGUUUUUGUAUUGGAUUUUGGCUCUUGUAUUGAACUCCAGACUUGAUGUAUGAAUUUUUGUACAUCCUUAUUCGUGUUUUGUUAGAUUUCA